AUUGAACGCUGGCGGCAUGCUUUACACAUGCAAGUCGAACGGUAACAGGCCUUCGGGUGCUGACGAGUGGCGCACGGGUGAGUAAUGCAUCGGAACGUGCCCAGAGGUGGGGGAUAACGCAGCGAAAGCUGUGCUAAUACCGCAUGUGAUCUGAGGAUGAAAGCGGGGGACCAAGCAGCAAUGUUUGGCCUCGCGCCUCUGGGGCGGCCGAUGUCAGAUUAGGUAGUUGGUGGGGUAAAGGCCUACCAAGCCGACGAUCUGUAGCUGGUCUGAGAGGACGACCAGCCACACUGGGACUGAGACACGGCCCAGACUCCUACGGGAGGCAGCAGUGGGGAAUUUUGGACAAAGGGCGCAAGCCUGAUCCAGCAAUGCCGCGUGCGGGAAGAAGGCCUUCGGGUUGUAAACCGCUUUUGUACGGAACGAAAAGGCUCUGGCUAAUACCUGGGGCUGAUGACGGUACCGUAAGAAUAAGCACCGGCUAACUACGUG
rnacentral:rRNA from 1 species